UAUAUAUAUAUAUCAUAUAUAUAGUUGAAAUUUAUAGAGAAGCAAAAGAUGAAGACAGGUGUAUGAACAACAAGCAAGUGUAUUAGUUUGAUGCUCCAGAAAAUGAAAAUCUUUUACGUUUUGUGUGUGUGUAUAUACACACACACAAAUAAUACAUAUAAAUAUAACCACACACAUACACACACACACACAUGUAUAUAUCUGUUGGUAACUACAGAAUUAAAUCUAUUUCCUGCUUUUACGCAAAUAGUUUGAUCAGCAUAGAUCCUCACCAGACAUAAAAGAAAUAGUGGAUAGGCGACAGAUCAAGUGAUUAUUGAUGUCAGUCAUUAGUGACAGGUCUACAUAUGGUGAAAGGUUUGCCUGUGACUGCAGAAUUCUGUUUUGUUUAUUAGCAAAUAUUUCUGCUUAUGAUGGCAGGUGAACAUUAGCUCUGAUCUUCUUUGUAUCGGUGUUGAAGUGGUACAAUAAGUGCAAUUUAUUCACUAUAAUUAAAAAUCUUUUCUCUUUUCUAUUCCUACUGUUAUAUCUGGGAUCUUAUACCACAUUGUGAUGUCUUUGUUUUGUUUACACAUCUAGUUUUCUAUAGACUCUCACACACAUGCAUAUGUAUUAAGUGCAGCUCAUGCUAGCAUGAAAAAAAUUGUAUAAGCAUAUAAUAUGCAUGCAUGUAAUGAAAGCUAUCACUCCUAGGGUCACUUAAUUUGUAGAACCUUUUUUCUUCCAUUGUAAACUCGAGAAAUUUCACUGAUAUUGUUCUCCCAUUCCACCGAUAUGAGUCAAGAAUUCAUACCUUAUUUUGAACACAAUGAUUAAAUAACACACACACACAUAUACAUAAAUGUGUGGGGGUAAAAAUUGCAGUGAGCCUCUCAUGGCUUGCUUCCUGUUGAUUUGUUUACAUUUAUAUUUUCUUUUCAAUAAUUAAAACCUCUUUUUAAUAUUUUCCAACUGUAGAAAUCAAAAAUAUUAUAUAUUUUCUUACUGUUACAUUCCAUGUUAUAUAUCCAUGUUAUAUACCCAUGUUAUAUACCCAUGUUAUAUACCCAUGUUAUUUAUCCAUGUUAUUUUGCUACUGUUGUUUCUCAUGUUUUUCUUUGUUUUUCCCCCACCUCCGUCUCAUGCAAACACGUUACAUUAUUAAUAUGUAAAAACGAUUGACUUGUUAAAAAUUUAAUCUGUAUCAUCAUCAUAUAUUUUUUCAAUGUUUAUAAAUAAACUUUUUUUUUAAAAAUCA